rnacentral:lncRNA from 1 species
CCGGGCAGAGCAGGCAGGCUGCAGGGGAUGGAGUGGGGGUUCAGCAUGGUGGGCAGACUGCAGGGGACGGUGUGGGGGUUUGGACAGAGCAGGCAGGCUGCAGGGGACAGUGUGGGGGUUCGGCAUGGUGGGCAGGCUGCAGAUGAUGCUUCUGGGGUCCGGGCAGGGCGAGCAGGCUGCAAGGGACAGUGUGGGGGUCCGGGCAGGGCGGGCAGGCUGCAAGGGACAGUGUGGGGAUCCGGGCAGGGUGGGCAGGCUGCAGGGGACGGUAUGGAGGUUCAGGCAUGGUGGGCAGGCUGCAGGGGACGCUGUGGGGGUCCAGGCAGGGUGGGCAGGCUGCAGGGGAUGCUUCUGGGGUCCGGGCAGGGCGGGCAGGCUGCAAGGGACAGUGUGGGGGUCCGGGCAGGGCGGGCAGGCUGCAGGGGACAGUGUGAGGGCUCGGGCAGGGCGCGUAGGCGGCCUGCGGUGGACGGGCAGGAGAAGCGCCCCGCUGGGGUGGAGGGCCAGAAGGGGCCGGCGUCACAAGCGGCAGGACAUGGUGCCCAGCCGGGGGCAGGAGUGAGGUGCAGGGUUAGCCAGGGUGGGCUUCAGUGUGUGGCCAGGGAAGGCAGCCACGGAAGCCAGCUCUGGCCGCAGGGAGACCGACAGUCCCCGGGUCCCUCCCCCCACAGCCCCCGUAGGGAGAGAAGUGGGGGCAGAAGACGGCGGUCUCUCCAGGCAGGCGGCGCAGUGCGACUGCGUUGGCCUUGUGCCAGUCGGCUCUCCGGGGAUUAAGACCAUGACACAGAAUAGGCCUGGAAGCAGGACCGCGUCUGCCCGGCGGCCUUAUUCCUGUCUCUCGUCGCUGCUCUUACCUUUGCCCUGGGUUUGGACUCUGACCCAGAAAUCCAAGUGGGUGCACAAAAAGGGAGCAGAUCCUUCCCCAAAAAGGGAGUCGGUUAUAGUCUGUGUCUCCAAGCAACCUCCGGGGAGCCCCUCUGCCCCCUCCCCUGCCCCCCACGGGAGCCCUGGAUAGACCCUGGGAAGGGUCAGCCCUGCCAGGCUCGUGCCCACGGCUCCGUCUGAACAGAGAAACCCUGGGCCUUUGCUUUCCUCCAAC